GGUGGUCUCUUAGUCAUGGCCGUUGGAUGUAACCAGUGAACCGAAUACUUGAAACCAAUUUGCUGGUUUGAGAAGAGUCCAUCAGGGUGAUGCAGAAGACUGUCCUAUGAACCAGGCAGAGCAACGGAAGCCAAAGAGAGGGCUCCGGUGUCUAGCCACAGGCACGCCACAAGGGACGAGAAGGAGCAGCAGUUUCAGCGAACAGGGAAAGAGUAGCUGUGUGUGGACAGCCUCUGCUUUAAGUCCAGCGUUAAAGGAAUUCACAAUGACUCUCAGGCUCUUCCAUGGUGAUGAGCAAGAGGUCCCUGGAGCUAAGAGAUGCUGAUACCAUGUGAAAAGUGGGAACAUACCAAUCCAGAGUUGAAAAGCAAUCCAGGAGAGUUAAUGUGAAGAAGUAUGGGAUAUAGUUUAACUGCUGCAUUUUUUCUCUUAAUGCCUUGGAAAAUCAUGUGAACUGAGCCUGUAGUUACUUUGGCCUUAAGGUGGAGGUGACAUCGGGGACCUUUUGUGAGGGUUUGACCAGGGGGUGCCCCUUUACACAGGCGUUGGUGUCCUUUUGGUGUAUCCCCUUCGUACUGUGAGUGCCUACUCACUCUUUGAUGCAAGAAGUUCCAGUUUCAUCUUGUACUCUACCUUCCCCAACCUGAGAAACAGCCAUUUUUCUGAGAAGCCUGGUUCCUCUUGUAGAGAAUGAUAUUUAGACACCCAGGGUUGAUCUAAGGGGGAAUACAAGUCUUUCUCUUGACUUCUUUGCAUUUUUCAAGUGCCUUGAUAUUUUGGAAAUGUACCAGAAUAAUGGGUGCUUUUUCAGUGAUGGAAAUUGUUGAUAAGUCCCAGAAGCAAGGAAUUACAGAAUAUCUAUUUUCCAGUGGUGAUAUAUGACUCUCACAAAACCACACCAUUAUUUAAAAUACCCUAAUGAGAUUUUUCAUAGAAAUGGAACAGAGAUUCCUAACACUUCCUGGAAUUUCCCUUAAAAAAAGGAAGGAAAAAGAAUUCAACUGAAAGCCCAUUUUUUCGCUUAGUAUUGGAAGGGACCAGCCUUAAAGAAUAAUUGAGUGAAGAUAACCAUGAUAUACAUCUUUUAAGGUGGCUCUGUGUAUGUCUGACAGCUGAAGUUUGAGAUGACUUUUCUGCAUUGUCUAAAAGAGCAGGAAAAGAUGUCUCAGGCCUCAGACCUCCUCCUGGACUUCAUUCAACUGCCACUUAGUGUUAAAGAAGCUUUCCCAACUCAAAGGACCUUGUUGAUUACAGUUUUGAUCUUGGUGACUUGGUUUUCUGGAAACAUCAUCAGAGGAAGAUAGCCCUCAAGCCCCAUUGGAAGGGAACUUACUACUGGACAUCCUGAACACUGCACUGCUACAGAAAUAGAAGGUAUUAAGCCUCAGUACACAUCACACAGCUGAGAAGGCCCCUCCACCUGACACCUAGCUCUCUGCAGAUGCUGGAGGCCGCCAAAUCAAACUGAUGAGGAAGAAGACUACCAGACAUCAAGAUGCUAAGAACACUGGAGCCCUAGAAAAUGAAAAACUAUGCCAUAGAAGGAAACCUGCUUUCUGAACCUGCAUGUGAUGUGGAAAGAAGUCACUGGCUUACCUGGGAAGAGUCUUAGCUGAGCAAGAAACAAAUUUCUGUGAUAAAUCACUGAAAGUUCUGGGUUUGAUACAGCAGUUCACAUUGUCUUGCUACAAUGUAAGAAAAUAUGGACAGAAGAAAGGACGGAUGUCAAUAUCUGUUGGAUUCAGAAAUUGGGAGCACAGAGGUAGUCCACCUCAACUAGAAAGAAGCUGGUACAAAACAUAUUAACCCCUCAUUGCAGGGACCAAGGGGGCUGGCGUGCAGUACCCCUGAUGCCACGCCCUCCCUCAGCCCAUCUCCAUUCAUUCACUAAAUCAUGUUACUCACUACGUAUUCUUCACGGUGUCUUCUCUCUAUUCCCACUUCUAGGACCCAAGCUGGGGCAUCAUCAUUUUUUGGCUGAAUUACUCUGAAUACUCUCUGACUAGUACCAGCUUCAGUUAGCUGCUCUCCUUGCCUGCUGCUCAUUAAUCUAUUCUCCAUGCUGUGUGUUCAGAAUCAUCUUUAUAAACACACAAAUCAGAUUGUGAUCCACCUCACUCCCCAACCCCCAGCUUGAAUCCCUUCAAUUAAUCCUUAAUGUGAUUGCAAUAAAAUCCAAACUCCUUUGCAAGAUAUACAUGGACCUCCUUUUCAGCUCUCACCUCCCCUGUCUUGGACCCUAUCUCCAGCCAUUCUGAAUUUCAUUCGGCUCCCUGAGUGCAUCUUGCCUCCCAGCCACUGCAUAGGGUAUUUCCACUUCGGGAAAUGGCCUGCCCCUUUCCCUCCUCCCCACCAUGUCCUUGACCCCUUCCUUCCCACCAGUCUGACUCCCACCCCACUGAGCUGUCAUUUCUGCUGGAAAGGCUUCCCCAACGCUCUCAGACAGCAUUAGCUUCUUAUUUUCUGUUUGUUCUUAGAACCCAGUCCCACCCUUAUCAAAGGACUUUCAUGGUCUAAUUGUAUCAGUAUCCUUCUCUGGAAUGAUCCUUGAGGGUGGGAACACCUCAUUCACCAUUAAAUCUGAGUGCUGGUUGGGUGUGUGGCACAGAGCAAGUACUUGAAAAAUAUUUCUUGGAAGAAUGGAUAGGGUGGGCAUGGAUGGUGGGGACGGAUGCCCGUUCUGGACAAGCCCAAGGAAAGAAGUUUUCUAUAAGGCAGUAAGCAAUGUUGCUUAACUAUUAGUGAAAAUAGGAUUACAUUUUUUCCAAUACCCUUAUUUAUUUAACUCUGCUCCAUAAAUGUCUUUUAACAUGUGACAAUCCAAAGUUGCUGUAUUUGGCUGUUUGAUGGAUUUGACUCAUUGAUUUAGUUUGUUUUCUAGUGUGAGUAGACAAGCCAGUGCAUUUCACUCCCUCUCUGCAAACCAGACUAUGAAUAAAUCCAGCUGUUCGGUCAUGAGAAAUGCCACACGCACAGGGCUAAGAUUUUGGCUAUGGGGGCAGAGAUGUCUGGGCUGGGUCCUGUGGCAGGAUUCACCACUGGCCGCAUGAACUUGAGCAAUGAAGCAGUUUCUACAGUCCUUUGCAGAGCAUCUGGUACAGCUUGCUAGUUGUAGUAAUAAUGAUUGUUAUAUUUUCUACAAAAAUUAAUAUUAUCAUUAUCCUGCCCUAAUGUUGCCAUAGAUCAUGGCUAUUACUGGGGAGGUUGUACACUGUGUGGAGGAAAAGUAACCCACAGAGACCAGCCCUAUGAGGUCAUCUGGAAAGACCGAAUUCUCCUCAUUGGACAGACAAGAAACCUGCACUCAGCAGGGUGAGAGACCUGCUCCUAGUCACGUAGCCAGUGAGCGCAGAGCUGAGGCUCAAACCACAGCUGAUUAUGAAGCCAGUUCUCUUUCCACUACACUGCACGGUCCCUGGGUGUUGCAUUUGCAGGUCCCAUUGUCUUCCAAGUGUUUAAGAUCAAAUAGGACUAAGGAUUCCAAAUCUGCCCUCUGAAACUAGCUGUUGCCCUCUCUCCAGUCGUAGGUGCUCAGGAUUGCGGGCCCCGGGGAAUUCUGCCCGGGCUCUAGCACUCACAGGUGUGGCUCCUCUCCCCAGAUGGCCCUCUUCCAGGCAGACAGACCUGCUCCCUCAGAGACCGGAGUGCCCUUUUACAAAGUGGGUGCUGCAUCUCCCUCUGGGACUAGGCAGAGAAUGCCAGCUACCUGCUGCCCUCCAGAAGCCAUCUAUGGAACCUGAGCACCCUUACCACUUGAGCAAACAUCAGGGUCUGCUGAGCCUCUGAAGUCUGGUUCUCAGUGCAAAUUGCCAAAGCAGAUAACACCUAAAGUACUCAGAAAGUCAUAGAUUGUCCAAGCUUGACAAGACCUGAGGCCUCAUCUGAGUCUGAACUGUGUAUUCUGUAGAGGAGGCACUCUAGGCAUAGAAACAAGCAGGAGCAAAUAUCCAGGCUCUGCUGGUGGGGGUGGGGAGGGGUCCUGAGUCCCAUUCCACUGUCCUUUCCAUCACAGCGAGAUACAUCUUUCUGAAGCAUCAGCAUAAUUGGAUAUCCCUUUGGAGACAGGCUGCCUCAGACAGAAAGCUGCUUAAGACUUUUGCCAUCACUAUGGGGAGCCAUUUUGGACAUAGGCCAUCUUUGCGAUGUGCACCACUUCCACAGGAUGGGAUGGUUGUAACAGGAGCCCUAAGGGAGGUCCAAUGGAGAUGUGGACAGUUUGAGAGCUGCCAAGAAUGGUGCUUAGCACUGGGUUUUUGGUACAGAGAAACGCUCUGGAAAGGUUCAUUAGGACCUGUCAGUCAAGCCAAAAGGCCAGACCAGGUAAGUGGCUGCCAGCCAUCAUUUGUAGGGGGUAGCUCUUGAAUGGGACUGGAGAAUGAACCCUGCCCCAUGUGGUUGCCUUACCCAUAGCUUAGGGUCCCUCUGUGGCAGGAGGGGGUUGGGGGUGCUGCGGAAUCCUAAAGGCACCAAGCCAGGCUGAUCAGUUCCUGGAAUCUUUGAUGUCUUCAAAUUCCUAUAGACUAUUGAUGUUUUAGAACUUCACAGGAGGGUCCCUGAACCAGGAUUUGCUCUAAUCAGACAGACAGACAGAGGACUGUCUAAUUGAUGUCCUCUGUUCUUCAGAGUGUCCCAGUCCCAAAUCAGCAACAGGCAAUUCCCUGUAGUAUGUCAGGCCAUGCUGAGGACUAACAGGAGUCAAUCCACAGCAGACAGCCAUUCACAGAUAAUGGAGAACUGAAAGGUCUGAAAGGGAAAAUUGCCAUCUCCUGGGAGCAUAUUCAAAUUCCAUCCCAUUUAAAGCAGGAGAUAGCAUUUUUUUUUAAAGCCUUCAUUAUCCUUCUUAUCCAGUACAUGCAAGAGUGUAAACAUCUGACAAAUGACUUGGUAAAUGAAUGAAUGAAUGAAAGAAUAAAGUGAGUGUCUGAGAUAAUGGAUAAAGAAAUAAACUAUCCAGGUAGAAAAUGACUGUGGAAAUGCACAAGGGGAUUGCAAAACCUUGAUAAUGCAUGCAUAAAUUCACAUUAAUUCUAUGCUGCAGAAAGAAGUUCAUCUGUUUAUAGAAUUCCUACUGACAGAGCAUCUCCUCUGCUGUUCUUUACUCUCCUGAGCUAAGUAGAAUGGGAAACCUGUAACUGUUUUGUUCUCUGAACAUUUGGGCAGAAUUAAAAUAACUCUUACAUGUUAUUUCUUUUAUUUCUCUAGCCAGCCGAACAUUUGUUCCCAGUGCAGAACCCAGAUGAGCUAUUUUUCAGUAAACCCUUUCAGUGUCUUGUCUAUUGCCACCACCUGGCCUUGUCACCACAACAUUCCUUAACACCCUGGUGGGAAAAGACAAACUGGAAGCAGACAGCAGCGGUAAACUGAGGUGGGGGCCCUGGGUCAGGCAGCCCUGGGCUUGGGGUCCUAAGUCCACCAUUUAACAGAGGGGCAUUGGGGAAGUUGCCAAGUGCUGGGUAACACUGGAACUUACACUGUGAACAUGAUUUUAAGUAACCAUGCAAGGAAAGUUCUCUGCUUCAUGUCCAUCCCACAGUGAAUGUUCAAAAAAUUACAGUGACUGCUUGCAAAGUAUUGUAUUUUGUUUUUUUUCAUAUUACAUUAUAUUCCAUCAUAUUGCAUAUC